ensembl:lncRNA
UUUUUUUUUUUUUUUCUUUUUUUGGCUGCACCUGCAGCACAUGGAGGUUCCCAGGCCGGGGGUUGAAUGAGGAGCUGUAGCCACUGGCCUACACCAAAGCCGUAGCCACGCCAGAUCCGAGCUGUGUCUGUGACCUACACCACAGUUCAUGGCAAUGCUGGAUUCUUUCACCCACUGAGUGAAGCCAAGGAUGGAACCUGUAUCCUCAUGGAUGCUAGUCAGAUUCACUUCCUCUGAGCCAUGACAGGAACUCCCCAACUAACCACUAACAGAUGAAUAAACAAGCAAAGUAUGGUGUGCUGAUAAAAUGGAAUAUUUUACAGCCAUGAAAAGAAAUGAAAUACUACAGGCUACAGUGUGGGAACUUUAAAAACAUUAUGCCAAAUGAAAUAAACCAGUCACAAAAGACCACAUAUUUGCCAGAGGCUGUAAGGUAAGGGUGUUGGGGAAUGAGGGACAAGUGACUGCUAAUGAGCCCAGGGAUUAUUUUGGGGAUAAUGCAAAUGCUCUGGAAUUAGAUAGUGGUUGAUGUCUGUACAACUCUGUGACUAAACCACUGAACUGUACAACUGAAAAAGAUUAAUGUUGAUAUAACAUUGUAAAUCAAUUAUACUUUUAAAAAAUGAUUUUUGUUUUUGGGUUUUUUUUUUUUUUUUUUUUUUUUUGCCUUUUCUAGGGCCGCUCCCACAGCAUAUGGAGGUAUGGUCCUAAAAAGCAAAACACAAACAAAAAAUUUUUUAAAAGAUGAAUGUAUGGCAUGUCAAUUAAGUCUCAAUAAAGCUGUUUUUCUCUCUAACGUAUUAAGAGACUCCACUGUAUGCUAUGGGUUUAUUCUGUCUUCUCCAUUUACUUUCUGCAAACUUUUAACUUAUUUUUACAGUGGGUUAUACAUUCACCUGAUUAAGAAACCAAGAAAACAUACAAGAGACACAGUGAAAAGUUUGCUUCCCACACCUGUCCCUCUCCACCCAGUUCUCAUUAAUACCUGUUAACUGCUUAUACAUCCUUCUUUAUGCAUAAAGCAAACAUAUAUUCUUUUUUUUUCUUUUUCUACACAGAGGUUGCAGUUUAUACCUACCAUUCUGCAUUUCAAAGGCAAAAAAAAUUUUUUCUGGAUCUCUUUAGGUUCGCACCUACAAGCACAUGGAAGUUCCCAGGCUAGGAGUCAAAUCUGAGCUGUACCUGCUGGCCUAUACCACAGCCACAGAAACGCCAAAUCGGAGCCAUGUCUGUGACCUAUACCACAGCUCACAGCAAUACCGGAUCCUUAACCAACUGAGCAAGACCAGGGAUCAAACCUCAUGGAUACUAGUCAGAUUUGUUACCGCUGAGCCAUGACAAGAACUCCAAAAAGGCAAACUUUUAAUCCCAAAAUGUUCUAGUGAAAGUGUGAAAGUGAAUAAAGGAAACCUCAUUUAAAAUCGUCAGAAGCAAAAAUAAAUAAAUUGGUCUACCUCAAACUAAAAAGCUUUUGCACAGGGAAGGAAAUUAUCAACAAAAUGAAAAGGCUGUCUACUGAAUGGGAGGAAAUAUUUGCAAACAAUAUAUCUGAUAAGGGGCUAAUAUCCAAAAUAUACAAAGAACUCAUACAACUCAACAUCAAUAACACAAACAACCCAAUUAAAAAAUGGGCAGAGGACCUGAACAGACACUUUUCCAAAGAAGACACAUAGAUGACCAAUAGAUACAUGAAAAUAUGCUCAAUAUCACUAAUCAUCAGGGAAAUUAAAGUCAAAUGAGAUAUCUCCUCCCAGUGAGAUAUCACCUCAUAGCUAUUCUAGAAUGGCUAUCAUCAAAAAGAUAACGAAUAACAAGUGUUGGUGAGGAUGCAGAGAAAAAGAAACCUUCACGCACUGUUGGUGGGAAUGUAAAAUGGUACAGACACUAUAGAACACAAUAUGGAGGUGCCUUAAAAAUUUAAAAACAGAACUACUGUAAGAUCCAACAAUUUCACUACCGCAUAUUUUCCCGAAGAAAAUAAAAAUGCUAAUUUGAAAAGAUACAUACACCCCAUGUUCAUCGCAGCAUUGUUUAUAAUAACCAAGACAUGGAAGCAACCUAAGUGUCUAUUAAUAGAUAAAUGGAUAAAGAAGAUGUGGUAUACGUACACAAUGGAAUACUAUUCAGCCAUAAAAAGAAUGGCACCUGAAAUACUGCCAUUUAUGACAACAUGGAUGGCCCUAGAGGAUAUUAUGCUAGGCGAAAUGAGCCAGACAGGACAAAUAUCAUAUGAUUUUACUUACAUGUGGUAUCUGAAAAACAAAACAAAUGAACAAUCAUAACAAAACAGAAACAGUCAUAGAGAACAAACUGGUGGUUACCAUAGGGGAUGGGGGGGGUGGGGGAUGAGGGAAACAGGUGAGAAAGAGGAAGAGGUUCAACCUUCCAGUUAUAAAAUAAGUUACAAGAAUGUAACUUAUACAGCAGAGGGGACAGAGUCAAUGAUACUGCAAUAAUUUUGUAUGGUGACAGAUGGUAACUGGACUAAUCAAGAGAAUCAUUUUAUAAUGUAUAAAAAUAUCAAAUCACUAGGAUAUAUGCCUGAAACUAAUAUAAGUCAAUUAUACUUCAAUAUUUUUUAAAAUACAGGAGAAAAAACUGUAAAUAAUAAUAAUAAAUAAAAUUGAAAUGUAAAAUAAAAUAAUCAGGAAGCCCUGAAGGGGGAGCUCUGACACAUUACCACUGGUGGAUGCUAGAAGACCGCAAUAGGAAGAAGCUUACUUUACUUACAUACCUUCGCAGAAGAAAGGAAGGUCUUCUGCCUGCCCAGCAUCUGCCCAGCCAAAGAGAAGUCACAAGAACAAAGCCAAUAAGGAGCUGCCACCAUCCUGAAUUUUCACUCAGCUCCAAUGGGAUUUCUGUUCAAAAACAGCCCCUCUCAACUUCUCCUUUUGUCUAUGAAAGACUGCUUCUUGCCUUUGUUUUCUGCAUUUACCUACAGUUUACUAUAGUUUGGAUGUCCUAAAUUGCAAUUCUUCUGCUAUUCCUGAGUAAAUUCAAUUUUGCUGCCUAAACCACUUACCUUUUUGUUUUAAAGGUUGACUAAAGCAAAAAAUAAAUUCAAUGGGACUUUUGUUCACACCUCAGUAGACUUUUAAAAGGAGAACAGAAAUAAAUGAUAUUAAUGUUAGUAAGAAUCAAAAAAAAAAAAGGUUAUCUAUGGCAGAGACAAAAAUCAAAGGGACGGGGCACAGUCUUACAAAUCUUUUAAAAACUCUGCUAAAACAUUGGAGUAGAAUCUUUAAUUUUAAAAAAUCAUUUCCUACAGACAAAAAAAUUUUUAAACCAAAUAUCCAUGAGAAGAGAGUGGAGGGUAAAAGGAGAUGAAUUAGAAAUGAAGAGUAAGGUACUGAUAUCAGAAUGGACUAAAAUGUCAACUAAGCACAACUAUGUACAUUAGAAGUACAAAACUAAGAACCAAUUUUUUUUAAUUAUAGUAAAGAAUGUUUAUGAAUGGUGGUCCAAGUGUAAAUAAGCCAAUAAUACAGUGCUUUUAUGUUUAAGCCAUUAUCAAUCUUAGUACCAUGUUGUUUGGAAGCUGAAUAAAAAUGUCUUUUCAAAGCCUUUUCAUUCAUGUUCAUGAAAAAAUAAGCCUUUACUCUCAGUGCAGCAUUAGUAGCUAUUAUUGCCUUGGUGUUUGACCCAAGCACCUUUACAAGUGAGCUGAAGCUGGUAUGGAGCCUCUCUCAAGAGGCUCCAGCGACACCCUAACAUUCCUGCAGCCAGCACUGCUUCUUCUCUAAUUUCCCCUGAUGGCAGGCUGAUCUACACACACUUCUCACUAAUGCAUUUCUCUGUUGAUGCAAAGUCUGGAAGGGAAGGGUUUGGAAUCUUGACACGCUCGCUACUUCUUAAAGACUGCUAAUUUUUGGGCUUAGAUAAUCUUAAGUCUUCAAAUUACUUAAAAACAAAGAGAUUGUUUUUAAACCAGAUACCUAGAACUUCAGAUGUAUUUUCUGAAGGGAACUGUGGUCUUAUGUAGAAGUUAGCUUUCAAGACCAAAACACUUGGAGUUCCCAUCGUGGCUCAGAGGCAAUAAACCCGACUAAUAUCCAUGAGGACGUGGGUUUGAGCCCUGGCCUCACUCCAUGGGUUAAGGCCGUGAGCUGC